GCUCAGUCGGUAAAGAAUCUGCCUGCAAUGCAGGAGACCCAGGUUCAAUUCCUGG
rnacentral:tRNA from 1 species